UACGUAGGGUGCGAGCGUUAAUCGGAUUUACUGGGCGUAAAGCGUGCGCAGGCGGCCCGUUAAGACAGGUGUGAAAUCCCUGGGCUCAACCUAGGAAUUGCGCUUGUGACUGGCGGGCUCGAGUACGGUAGAGGGGGGUGGAAUUCCUGGUGUAGCAGUGAAAUGCGUAGAGAUCAGGAGGAACACCGAUAGCGAAGGCAGCCCCCUGGGCCUGUACUGACGCUCAUGCACGAAAGCGUGGGGAGCAAACAGG
rnacentral:rRNA from 1 species